AUCAGUGAAGGGCAUCAAGAGGCGUGACUAUAGGAAGGCGUUCGAGGCCGGUCCGGAUACGCCAGGAGGAUGGGGCAGGCGCAACGCGGGGCUUCUGCCGCCCGCGGCACGCCGGGAAGGAGUCAGGCCUAGACGCAGCUUCCGGUUCCGUUUGUGGCGGCUGAUUGCUACGGUAACGCGGUCAGGGGUCCCGCGAUGGCGUGCACUAGAGAGGUGGUGGGCCUCCACGCCUCACCAGCUGAGAUCCUUUGAUUCCAGGCACCAUACAAAAACAUUUACAAGCUAUGCCGAGGUAAAGCAGCUGCACCAAAAGCCAAGCAUUUGUGUCCUUAAUGGCAGAGCAUCAGUUAAGUCGCCCCAGCGUCUGGGAGCUUUUAUACAUGUGUACACUGCUGUAAGUAGUUAUAAAUAAAUUAAUUAAUUAAAAAAUAAAGGCAAUUUGCUUCUGGGAA